UACGGGGGGAGCAAGCGUUGUUCGGAUUUACUGGGCGUAAAGGGCGCGUAGGCGGCCACCGCAAGUCAGUUGUGAAAUCUCUGGGCUUAACCCAGAAAGGUCAACUGAUACUGCGGGGCUAGAGUGCAGAAGGGGCAACUGGAAUUCUCGGUGUAGCGGUGAAAUGCGUAGAUAUCGAGAGGAACACCUGCGGCGAAGGCGGGUAGCUGGGCCGACACUGACGCUGAUGCGCGAAAGCCAGGGGAGCGAACGGG
rnacentral:rRNA from 1 species